UACGGGGGGGGCAAGCGUUGUUCGGAAUUACUGGGCGUAAAGGGCUCGUAGGUGGCCAACUAAGUCGGACGUGAAAUCCCUCGGCUUAACCGGGGAACUGCGUCCGAUACUGGAUGGCUUGAGUUUGGGAGAGGGAUGCGGAAUUCCAGGUGUAGCGGUGAAAUGCGUAGAUAUUCGGAAGAACACCAGUGGCGAAGGCGGCUCACUGGCCCGGUACUGACGCUGAAAUACGAAAGCGUGGGGAGCAAACAGG
rnacentral:rRNA from 1 species